AUAAAUUGUAAGUAAUGAAGAAUGUAGCAGAUAGCAAAACUUCAGUGGAUGCGGCACCAUGCAUAUGCAGUUUGAAUGUUUUAUGAUCACACCGCACUGUUUUGAAGACAAGCUUUAUGAAGUGGAAGCUGGAUUAUGACAGUGCUGCAUCAGAAUAUGCCAAAGCAGCUAUUGCCUUCAAAAACUGCAAACAACUGGAACAGGCGAAAAGAUGCUUAUUUACAGGAGGCCGAAGCACACACCAAAAACAGAUCGCAUCCUUUUCACAUUUGUGUUGUUGUAUCUGUACUUAUUCAGUCACAUAUUGAUGACAUCAUCUGGCUUUUCUAGUCAAACAUCAGCCUUCAUUAUUUUAGUCUGAAAAUGAGACUGUGUCAUCGUUUUUAUUUCUCCUUGACUCAUUGUCUAGUCUUUUUCCAUGCUGCCAAAGAGAAUAUGCAUUUGUUAGUACAGAGAUCUAGUUUUAAUAUGUAGACUAUUGUGCUUGCCUAUGAACUUGCUACUUAUUGUAAACAUUUGUGUUUACAUGAAGGGCCCUCUAGCAAGCAGGCAUGAUUCUUAAGGUGAGUGAUUGCUGGAAAACUUAUUUUUAUAUACUUGUGCAUGGUAUGAUGUAUGUUGAAAAUGGCACACCAGAUACUGCAGCCAUGGCCCUCGACAGAGCAGGAAAGUAUGUGCUUGAUCUACAACCAGUUUUGUAUUUGUUUAUACAGUAUUUGUCACUGAGUCACAUAUCGUCCGGCUUUUCCGGAUUAAGAAGCUAAUUUCAACAACACAGAAAGGCUUCAAAAUAAAAGCUCAAUUUAAAUGGAAUAAAGUUGGACAGAAAUAGAUUGCUACUUUAUAGUUAUACAAUAUUCACUGUAAUAAUAAUAAUAAGAAAUCAAUAGUAAUUGUGUUUUAUUCAAGCAAUAUCUCACAUCUGUGAUGUUCUGUUAUGCAGCAUUUUAUUUGAUAAACUAUAACUCCAAUAUUGUAUUUUGGACUGUGCUGUGAAGCUCUGUAUAAAAGUACUUAAUUUGAUGAAUAUAUUAUGUUGACAAUUAGUUGUUCUAUUUUUAGUUGAUUUAAAGUUUUAAUGAAUUCAUUUAUUUAAACACAAUUUUGAUGAUAAAAUUGAAAUGAACUGAAAUGUAAUUCUGAAAGAGUAAAAUAAGAACGGUGGUGAGUACCAAAAAGGAAGUAUCGGUACCCGUACUCGUUCUCAAAAAAUGCAUCGGGACAUCCCUACUUUAAGCCCUGUCAGCCAUUCUGGCAUUUAGUUUCAUUUUCUUUUGUUUAUUUCAUUUUGAAAAUGUAUUCAGACAUGGAAAGUGUCAUUUUUGCUUUCACCUGUGCUGGCUUCAGUUAGAUUAGAUAUUUUUGAGUUUAGGUCAGUCUGUCUAACCUUUUCUUUGUAUCCUAUUUCUUUCACUCACCCUUUUAAGAAUGUGGCAGUUAUGACAUUGCCCUACUGCAAUAUGGAAAUAGUUUUGUUGGUAGAGACCUCCAGUCACCUCCAUGACCUUUGGACCCACCAAAACAGUUGUUAUAUAGUUUUGCAUGACCAUUUCCCACGCUGUCUCUGAUCCUUAGAGUUGAACACGGUUUUUGCUACAGUACCUUCAGAAUAACCUCUGUGAUGAUUUAACUACUUACUGUUUUUCACACCUGUUCUUCAGUAUGCAAAGCUCGCAAUCACCCUUAAAGUGCCUGGAGCAGGGAAGAAGAAAUUGGCUGCUGCUGCCAGUGGAGACGCAGGUGUGAAUGCUGGAGCCGCUCAGGAAGAGGAGGAUGAGUAUGCUGGAGGACUUUGUUAAAUAUCGAAUCUAGGACACUUACAGGAGGACCGAUUCUGAAGCUCAGAGCUUCUCUACGAAAUACUUUGCAUCUUAAACAUAUUCCAUAUAUCUAAAGCCUGUGACUCUUUCAUGAAGGUGAAUGCUCAUGAUCUCAAAUAUUCCAGGACUGGUGAGCUUUGUAUUUUCUAAUGUUUUCAAAACCAUUAAUGAGAGAAUUUCAAACUAAGAAGAAAAAAAAAAAAAGAUUCUUUACAACAUCCAUAUAGAGGGCUCGCAACACUAUAAACACUCUGUAUAGUUAAACUUUAUAUUAACUUUGAGUGUUUUCAGGCAAACCCAAACCUGAGAUUGUUCCAUGAUGUUAAUACAUGUGAUCUGUUCAUGCACUUUUUGAAAUUACCUUAAAUGUUGAAUGGGACCUUUCAAUGUUUGAAUCAAGAUUAGUCUUUGUAUGCAGUAUUUCUUAAAAUUUGGGGUUGAUGGUUAUAGUGCUACAGAAUACUACAGUAAUAAUUUAAAAAUAUAUGGUGGUAAUUUAUUUCUUUAUGCUAAAAAUUUAAAAACGGUGCCUGCCCAACCCUAAAAAAAAAAUGUCAUACUAAGUUUAAAACCUACUGAAUGUCAAUGAAAAAAUAAGCAGGACUUUUCACACAAAUGCAAGAAUUGCCUAAAUA